rnacentral:misc_RNA from 1 species
GAUGAAGAACGUCGCGAAAUGCGAUACGUAAUGUGAAUUGCAGAAUUCAGUGAAUCAUCGAGUCUUUGAACGCACAUUGCGCCCCCUGGUAUUCCGGGGGGCAUGCCUGUCCGAGCGUCAUUGCUGCCCUCAAGCACGGCUUGUGUGUUGGGCCUCCGUCCUCCUCCCGGGGGACGGGCCCGAAAGGCAGCGGCGGCACCGCGUCCGGUCCUCGAGCGUAUGGGGCUUCGUCACCCGCUCUUGUAGGCCCGGCCGGCGCUUGCCGACACAUCAAUCUUUUUUCCAGGUUGACCUCGGAUCAGGUAGGGAUACCCGCUGAACUUAAGCAUAUCAAUAAGCGGAGGA